rnacentral:rRNA from 1 species
GACGAACGCUGGCGGCGUGCUUAACACAUGCAAGUCGAACGCUGAAGCCCAGCUUUUGUUGGGUGGAUGAGUGGCGAACGGGUGAGUAACACGUGAGUAACCUGCCCCCUUCUUUGGGAUAACGCCCGGAAACGGGUGCUAAUACUGGAUAUUCACUGGUCUUCGCAUGGGGUUGGUGGAAAGGGUUUUUCUGGUGGGGGAUGGGCUCGCGGCCUAUCAGCUUGUUGGUGGGGUGAUGGCCUACCAAGGCUUUGACGGGUAGCCGGCCUGAGAGGGUGACCGGUCACAUUGGGACUGAGAUACGGCCCAGACUCCUACGGGAGGCAGCAGUGGGGAAUAAUGCACAAUGGGCGCAAGCCUGAUGCAGCGACGCCGCGCGAGGGAUGGAGGCCUUCGGGUUGUGAACCUCUUUCGCUCAUGGUCAAGCCGCAACAAUGGUUGUGGUGAGGGUAGUGGGUAAAGAAGCGCCGGCUAACUACGUG